rnacentral:rRNA from 1 species
CCUACGGGUGGCAGCAGUGGGGAAUAUUGGACAAUGGGCGAAAGCCUGAUCCAGCCAUGCCGCGUGUGUGAAGAAGGCCUUCGGGUUGUAAAGCACUUUCAGUGGGGAAGAAAGCCUUGGGGCUAAUACCCUCGAGGAAGGACAUCACUCACAGAAGAAGCACCGGCUAACUCCGUGCCAGCAGCCGCGGUAAUACGGAGGGUGCGAGCGUUAAUCGGAAUUACUGGGCGUAAAGCGCGCGUAGGCGGUCUGAUAAGCCGGUUGUGAAAGCCCCGGGCUCAACCUGGGAACGGCAUCCGGAACUGUCAGGCUAGAGGGCAGGAGAGGAAGGUAGAAUUCCCGGUGUAGCGGUGAAAUGCGUAGAGAUCGGGAGGAAUACCAGUGGCGAGGGCGGCCUUCUGGACUGACACUGACGCUGAGGUGCGAAAGCGUGGGUAGCAAACAGGAUUAGAUACCCGAGUAGUC